AAACUAACAAGGAUUCCCCUAGUAGCGGCGAGCGAAGCGGGAAGAGCUCAAAUUUAUAAUCUGGCACCUUCGGUGUCCGAGUUGUAAUCUCUAGAAAUGUUUUCCGCGUUGGACCGCACACAAGUCUGUUGGAAUACAGCGGCAUAGUGGUGAGACCCCCGUAUAUGGUGCGGACGCCCAGCGCUUUGUGAUACAUUUUCGAAGAGUCGAGUUGUUUGGGAAUGCAGCUCAAAUUGGGUGGUAAAUUCCAUCUAAAGCUAAAUAUUGGCGAGAGACCGAUAGCGAACAAGUACCGUGAGGGAAAGAUGAAAAGCACUUUGGAAAGAGAGUUAACAGUACGUGAAAUUGUUGGAAGGGAAACGCUUGAAGUCAGACUUGCUUGCCGAGCAAUCGGUUUGCAGGCCAGCAUCAGUUUUCCGGGAUGGAUAAUGGUAAAGAGAAGGUAGCAGUUUCGGCUGUGUUAUAGCUCUCUACUGGAUACAUCCUGGGGGACUGAGGAACGCAGUGUGCCUUUGGCGGGGGUUUCGACCUCUUCACACUUAGGA
rnacentral:rRNA from 1 species